UCUCACAGUGCUUUGUAAUGCAAAGGUGA
rnacentral:piRNA from 1 species